GGUAAAGUGGCCGAGGUAGGCGGUGGGUUGUAAACCCAAAGACAGAGGUUGAAGCCUCUCUUUACCA
rnacentral:tRNA from 1 species